rnacentral:rRNA from 1 species
CGUAUUCAAUAAGUCAUAACGACUCUCGGCAACGGAUAUCUCGGCUCUCGCAUCGAUGAAGAACGUAGCAAAAUGCGAUACGUAGUGUGAAUUGCAGGAUCCCGUGAACCAUCGAGUUUUUGAACGCAAGUUGCGCCCGAAGCCUUUAGGCCGA